UUGUUUGUUUGCAUAUUAUUUUUUACCUCUUAAAAUUAUAAAUGCCUCUUAUUUUUUCAGAUAUCAAACAAAGUCUGAAAAAAAAAAAAAAGGACGCAUUCCUUAUUUGCCCUAAACAAGAUCGACUGCCUCCUAUUCUUUCAUUCCCUUCGUGUUUGCUUCUCCGCGUCUGUUUCUCUACACCUUCCGAUGAUGCCGCUGAAACGGCGCCCGCCCACCCAAAACGUCGACGACGCUGCACCCAGCAACGCCGCCGCCACCGCCGCAAGUUCUUCUAUCUCCAACUCGUUCUUCCACCGACGCAACUGGUUUGUUUCUCUUCUCCUUUUAAAAUCAAAUCCAUUGCUCUUCUUCUGUUUCUUCCUUCUUUCCCCCAAACUUGAAAAUCAAAAAUCCAAAUAAGAUCUUGAUGUUAUGCUAUCUGUUUCUGAUUUGUUCAAUCAAAAUCAAUAUUGAUGUUAUGCUCGAUUUUAUGUGAUAGUUUAUGUGAAAUCAGUUUUCAAAAAUCAAAAUCAAUAUUUGCGUUCAAUAGAUAGUAUAUGUGAAAUUAAUUUUCAAAAAAAUUAAGUAAUCUUUUUAUCUAAUUAAAUUUUGAUUUGAAUUUGUUUGUAUAUUUGAAACUUCAUGGAUGGAAUUGUCCAUCGAGAUCUAAAACCACAAAAUCUCCUACUUUCUUGAAAUGAGGGCAAUUGAACAUUGAAGAUUUCAAUUCCCAUAUACGUUAAGAGAGUUGUUUGUGAGGUAUAUUCAAACUAUGUUUCAUCCGACCAAACGGGCCCUUAUAAUCGUGAGCUGUGAAAUCUAUUAUAUCCAUUUCUAUUAACUUUUUUUUUUCUUUUCAUUCUAUUCAUGAGCUGUGAAAUCUGUUAUAUCCAUUUCAUGAUGUAUUUGUCCCUCUUUGUGGUUAUGUAGUUGAGCAUAAAGUUAUUGCUGACAAGUGAUAUGAUACCAGUAAUUCCAACUCCGAAGUCCUCUACAUAGGUUCUGAUUCCAGCUGAAACAAAAGGAACCACCAUCAAUGAUAUGGGCUGUAAUUUCAAAUCUAGUUCAUCGGAGAUUAUAUCUCCAGUUCAUUAAUUGGGCAUGUCUCUAUGCCUUUUUGCGUGCUCUGUUUCCAGUUCAUGAGUUGCCACUCUCCUUGAUACAACUUGUAAUCUACUUUCAAGAAUAACUAUUAAGGGUUUUUCUUUCAAGAAUGUGUUUAUACUUGUCAUGAUAUGUAAGAAAUAGCAAUGUACUUUUAUUGAUUUUUUUAUUGUAAAGUCAAACUUUCACCUCUUCCUAUUAGACCAUUGUAUUGUAUUUUGAAAAAUCUAUUUAGUUAAAACAAAG
rnacentral:lncRNA from 1 species